CAUUGUAAGGCACAUAGUAAGCAGUCAAGAAUAUUUGUGGUUCUACUGACUGAAGUGAUCCUAUCUUGUGACUCAUGCAUGGCACGUCUAUAAGUCAAGCUGGAAUCCUCUAAAAUAAGUCACAUGGGAAAAAAUUCUGAUCUUAUUCUAGACGAAGAAUGAAAAGCCAGGAAGCUACAUAACCCAAGCCAUCAAUCCUUUCCCCAGCCCUCACAUUAGGAGCCCUGGGAAGACAUCCAGGGACCUAACAAAGGAACCAGGAGGAGUUUUACAUUUAAGGCAGACAACUAUAAAAUCACUGAAAAGGUUGAAACAGAACCAUUCAAGAGAGGGCCAGACUCAACCACAGAGAAAUCCUCAUUUUAGUUUUCACAGAAACUUGCAUUGAGGUGCCUUUCUAGGAUUUUAGCACAUGGAAGAAAUGUCCCUACCCAUGCAUACAGAAACGCAUAAGAACAGGAAGUGACGUAUUGUUUAUCAGGAAAAACAGUAUUCAUGUAUUAUUUACAAAAAUUGAGGCUGAUCUCCAAGCUCUACUGUGGAAAGAGUUCAUCAAGUUCCUAGACUGAAGAAAGCUAAUUGGGACCUCAAGAGCAUAACUUAAUCUCAGAGUUGUUCACCUCCGUGCAACGAAGUUGGGCUUUCAAGUAUUCUUUGACUAAGAGCCUGUGCUGGAGAAAGGGGCCACGCUGGGCAGGAAGGAAACCCCUAAGAACUCUGCAGCAGGUGGUAAAGGGAUUCCAGCAGUUGAGGCAGCCUUCCUAAGAGAAAUGCAGGUGCAACAGAAAAACAAAAGCAAACACAAGCCAGGAGAAGGAUGCAGCCAAGGAGAAAAGGGGAUUGGAGGAGAUUUAACAGAGUAUCAACAGGAUCCACUGCAGAAGAGGUAACAAAUUAAAAAAUUAAAAUAUCAUAUCCCAAAAUGGAAAUAAAACAGAUAGAAUGCCGAGUAUAUAUUAAAUAAGGCAAGCUAUUUAUGAUGAGCUAACUCACUUGCAAGUUACCAGAGAGCAUGGAGUAAAUCCUUUAUUUCUCAUGUCCUCAUUGUGCCUAAGACUGCGUUUCUGUACACACAUUAAAAAAACAGGAAAUCAAUGGUUCCCAAUGGUGAUGUGUGAACUCUUCAGGAUCUGGAGGAACAUUAUUAAAUUGCUCCAUUAGCUUUCUCUUGUUUGGGUUGAAAAUAAAAAUUGUGAUGCCAUUUCUACCUAGUUCAUUCUUCCCAAGACUAAACUAAGUCAUGGUUUUCUUACUAAUUAGGCAAUAAUGAGGAUCUUAAAAAUAUUGUAAGAGAAAAAUGUCUUAGCAAUGGAAUAGGCAAUCAGACUAGCAAUCAUGACAGUGCCUGAGGAAGAAAGGAAAGAAAUUUUAAGGUGGGUAAUUUUUGUAAAUCCAUAUCUCUUUUUACUUUGGCCUAGAGGCAAAUAUUCUCUACUAAUUUAACUUUUGAAAAAACUCAUUAGAUUAUGUAGACGAAAGACCAGAUGAGGAGAAAUAAGUAAAUGUUAGAGAAAAUUCUGCCAUGUAAUAUUUAUAGGACUUCAGCAGAGCCAUUUUUAACAUUUACAAAAUGACAGAAUUGUACUAUAUAUCUCUAUGUUUAUUUUCUGUUCUGAAAUUUUAUGCUGAAGUAGGUCCAACUUUUAACUCUUAUACAGUUGUCCCUUUGUAUCCAUGGGGAAUUGGUUCCAGGAUCUCCAAAGUUAUGAAAAUCCAAGGAUGCUCA
rnacentral:lncRNA from 1 species